UAUAUAUUUCAUUGCUAAAACCUAAGGUUUCUGUUCCAGUCAUUAGAAGUUGUGUCAUAGGAUUUAGAUUGUGCUGAUAUUUCUAGAAGAGUUAAUGAAGUAGAAUAUUUUUCAGAGAUGAAAAUAAAAAUUAAUGGAAAUUUUGCUUUUCAUUAGUCACAUCAGCAAAUCAAUGUUUUAUAUCAAGCUAUUAUGUAACAAGAUUCUAAAUUAUGUUCCCAAGAAUUUCUGUGUAAAAUAUUUCCAUAUGGCAAGAUCUGUAAAAUUCUGUAACACAUUCACAAAUCAUUGUGACAAGGAACACUGGUAUUAAUUUCUUAAAGUCAAUGUCAUUUUUCCAAUAUAAUUUUGUUAUUUUAUUUCCUUAUAUCUUGAAACUUAAGAAAAACUGCAUGCCUUCUUAGAAAAUAAAGUAUGUAAUCACCAACAUAAAUAAACAGAUUACAUAUAGUUCUCAUGUAUACAUUUUUGUAACCUAAGGUAAAGAUUCUAUUCUAUUCUAUAUUACAGCACUCAAUUAUUUCUCUUGUGGUAUUUAUCAUACUCUGUGUAUCUUUUGUAAUUUAUUUGUUGAUUUGGUCUUUGUUUGAUGCUCUAACUACAAAGUAAACUAGCUCGGGAAGACAAAAUCUCUCCAGGUGUUCUGAGCAGAAAGGGCUGUAAAUAAUAGAAUUUCAUGGUUACAAAAAUGUCAAAAGGAUAGAAGGAGAACAUUUAAAAUUUGCCACUAGUUUUGAGAAAGUCAAGAAAUUUCUGAAACUAUUGGUGAUAAUCAUAACUGCAUGAAUAGCUGAAACUAGUGAUUAUAGCAAUACCCAGAGCUGCUGAAAAAUCUCACAUCUGCUGAAGCCCGGACACCUGCCUAUGGAGUAAGAAUUUGGCUUCUAAUUUCCAAAUUUUGUGAGAAUGCAUCUCAUUGACAGAAUCUAAUCUGGGACCCUCCUGGCAAGGGGUUCUAGGAAAUGAGUUCUCAGGCUUCUAGCCCCUGUGAUAGUAGGUGGUGCGUAGAAGGAGUAAGUGUUGCUGGGCGGUCUGCAGAAAAUUCAGUACAAGCUCCAAAUGGGAAGGAGUCCUGCUGUUUUCUUUUACCCUUAUGGUAAAUGGUCUCAGGAUCCUUUGCACUCUUAAAACUUUUUGAGGAUAUCAAUGGGAACUUUUGUUUAUGUAGAUUAUAUCUAUCAAUAUUCAUCCUAAGGAAAAUUAAAAUUGUGAACAUUUAACAGUGCUAAUUUAUUAAUUCAUUCAAAAAUAACAAUAACAAAGUCUUACAUAUUAACUUAAAUAUAAUAUUUCUUAAGAAAAAUGACUGUGUUUUUCCAAAAUAAAACAAAAAAUAGUGGGAUACCUGCCUGGCACAGAUGGUAGAGCAUGCGACUCUUCAUUACGGGGUUAUGAAUUUGAGCUCCACUUUGGGCAAAGAGAUUACUUUAAAAAUUUUUUAAAUGGUGAGAAGAGUAGCAUCAUCUUUUUGAGAAUAUUAUUAAAUAUCUAGCAUAAUAGACCGUAGCUUCUCUAUCUUCUGUUAAGAUACUAAGUGCAAGAGAAAAAAAUACAAAUUACUUUUUAGUAUUGUCAUGGGAAUAGUUUGGCUCUUGAAGACCCCCUAGAAAUUUCUCAGGCUUUUCAUAGUCCCAAGACCCCACUUUGUUAACCACUGUAUAAUCAUAUCAUUAGCUACUUGCGUCAUUAUCUGACAGAUAAUAGAUAGCAAAAGAUAUUUGUUGAAUGAAUGAGUAAAAGGAAAUUGCAUUCUUGUAUUGUUCUUUUUCUAAUACAUGUAAGCAACAAUCUGUACGUGUUUUUAAAGGAUGACUUUCUCUUGCAUUCAUUUUGUCUUUCUUGUAGUUUUGUUGCUGGAAGACAGGGAGCAUGUGAAGCCACAUUUGAGAAGUGACAUAAUUUGACUCAUACCAGCCUAAGGCAAAAUUACAAAUUGAAUAAAGUAUUCAAUGCCCUUCACACCCCUCCAGUCCAUCCUUUGUCAUAGAAUCAGAAUAUCUUUACUGGACUAUUGUCCCUCACAAUGCUUGAGGCAGUUUUAUGAAGCUCUGCUUUCCAAAUUAGACAACAUGUACCUCUGAGGGGCAUUUGAUAGGGUGUCAGGAGUAUUUAAAGCCAUAAUAAAUGGAAGGAAUAAUUCUGGAAUACUGAUUUUCCUUGAAGUCUUCAGGAUAACAAUAUUUAAAUAACAAAUAAUAAACAAAGAUAUAUUAUGAAAUGCAUGAUAAAUUGGAUUAUCUCAAUUCUUCCCCUCUUUCUGCCACAUGACUCACAGAGAGGCACUGAUUUGGGGCUUGGC
rnacentral:lncRNA from 1 species